UACGAAGGGGGCUAGCGUUGCUCGGAAUCACUGGGCGUAAAGGGUGCGUAGGCGGGUCUUUAAGUCAGGGGUGAAAUCCUGGAGCUCAACUCCAGAACUGCCUUUGAUACUGAGGAUCUUGAGUUCGGGAGAGGUGAAGUGGAACUGCGAGUGUAGAGGUGAAAUUCGUAGAUAUUCGCAAGAACACCAGUGGCGAAGGCGGCUCACUGGCCCGAUACUGACGCUGAGGCGCGAAAGCGUGGGAGCGAACAG
rnacentral:rRNA from 1 species